CGCGGUUGUUCUGGUCGCGAGCACAGGUGCUCGCGGUAUCUGGGCGGCGGACAUGUCAUCGGGAUGUGUAGCGUUAAAUUACCGAGGGAACCAGUCGAUCGUUUUUUAAUCGGGAGAACGGGAAAUACGGUAGAGGGAUAUGACGUACGCCGCGCCGGUGACGGAGCGCGCAGAUCCCGCCGUGACGGGAGGUCAUCAGAGCCGUGGCUCGGGACCGUGUUCUUCUCCUGACCCGUAGCUCAGGAAGUAGUUGGAUUUCCGGCAGGCGGCGGUGCGCAGGCUAGUAAAUGACAAGUGAGACUAAGGCGGAGCUGUCUCCCACCGCUUGCCACACUUGUUUGGAUCUCCAUUGACGCCUGGCGAAACCCUGAGCACCGGAGAUCGGUGGGGGAAGGAAUACACGGCGGCGCUAUCCGUAUGGAGUUCCUGAUGCAGCCCAUUAGGAGAUGUCAACGAGAAGGAGCUUCCAAUGGAGCCGCUGCACUACCCCGCGGUGGCGAUAGGGACUGCAGAGCUACCCCCAUGGCGACAGCCAGCGCCGAUAGGCAGAUGUGUGUGGCGGAAGGCGGGCUCGCAACGGAUGGGGAUGCUGAGCCGCAAGCAUGUGAGCAGGCUGGACUCGCAGGGUUAGGAUUGGAGCUGCUGCUCCAGGAAGGGCACCUUGCCCUAGGCGAACCAACACUCUUGAGAAGGCAAUAUGGGGGUUCGCUGACAAACCGGGCGACAUUGUAAUCAUGCUUGCACUGGGUACAAGCUUUGACACACUCGGGGAGGCCUAUGAUUUUUCCAAUCUCUACUCGUGGGAGAAGGGAUUUGGAAUAAGAUACAGGAAGAGUAUACUGAAUGUGGAGAGGACAAAAUGCAUGCAGGAAAUUGUUUGCGGCUGUGCGGGUAAAGCUGGGGUGGAGAACAGUAGAUCGUGCCAUGACUGCCCUGCAUUAAUAAGGUUGCUCCGCUCAAAGGCAAUGGUUGGUACAUAGCUGAGCAUCGUGAGCAACACACCCACUCGCUGUCUCCGACACAUGGGCACACAAUACACUAGCUUUCCCACAAGCACAUUGCUCCUCCACCAUGCCCUUCCCUCAAUCUCCCUAAGCCUCGUGGCAUUGCCAGCACAUCUCCGUUGAUAUGGACGACGACCCACUACCAAUCGCAACGACACAAGGCUGUAGAUCGGCAGCCGGUCGCUGAUAGGCUAUCAGAACUGGCAAGCAGUGUUCCAUCUCACAUUUUCGGCAUCUUCGUGGUUCCUUCUCCAAGAUUUGCCUCCCAGGCAUCAAAUCGACGGGGCCAAUCCCCUGGUGAGAAGGCUUUGGAUUGCCGGGGCCGCGUUCGCUUGCACCUUAGUUGGAUCUAUGUUUGCUUGCUAGACCAGUGAUCUCCGCCCCUUACUUCACAUAUGAUUCUCCUACCCUGGGGGCAGCAGUCAUUCUCUCCUCUCUGUUUUCUCACGUUUUCAAAGGGGAACUUGGUUUCACCAAUCUACAAGCUGGAGGAAGCUCACUGACUAUCGUUCUCCUAUUUUAUGAAAUGUCAAGCAAUUCAGUGUUCACCCCUGAAAUGACUAGGCACUCCAUGAGCUUUUAUUUUCUGUUUUCAGAAAACCAACCUGUAGAACUGACAACAUUCUUUUCUAUCAGCUAUAUAGAGAACAGUAUGGCAUUCAUCCAUGGAGGUUUAUGCACCAAAACUGUCCCCUUUUGCAACUUCAUCUCUAUUGGAAAUGCUAACACAAAAGGUGUAGGUGAAUUUGAGAUCCUUUUACCUCUGAUGCAUUUUCCCCUACUUUCAGUAGUUAAAUCAUUAGCCUUGACCUUGUCAUCCUAUGGACGUAGAAAUUAAUUCAACUCUCUAAGUACAUGUACUUUUCUAUGUUACUUUUCUACCUGACCAUAUUAUUUUAUAUGAUGCUUGCAAGAUGAUCUUCUAAUAUGUUUACUCAGUGAGGCUCCCACUCAUAACCUGAGUUGUUAUUGUAUUGGUGCCCUGCAAUGAUGUUAAAUCGAGCAACGUAAAUGAAUAUGUCCACUAUGUGGUACUCUUAUUCUUUGCUA